GUAUCAUAUAUAUCAAUUCACUUUAUAAUUGUGAGAGUAACUGCAAAUGUGAGUUCAUUGGUCUAUGAAGAAACUUCAAUGCAGAUCAGCACCUUUACUUCAACUUAGGGUGUGACAGAUGGAGUUGCCAGAACUCUGAAAGGAUAAAUGAUCGCCAGGAUCACAUAGCCAGCAUGUCUCCAAGACAUCACUUGAAACCAGAUCUUCCUGGCCUCACCACACUGACUUUCUUAGAGGAAUAUGCCUUGCUUAUGCAGAGAGGUGGGGCCAAUUGAUGAAGUUAUAAUGGAGAAGAGAUAGUGAGGUCAUAAAUAAGUUACAAUAAAGUAUAAUUUGUUAUGGCUUUGUGAGGUAUAAAGUUGUUUAAGCAAGGUCUAUGGAAUUAGGGGCUCACUAACCACUAACUAUAUCCCCAGAGGCCCUUUAAAAAUCAAGAAACUCUAUGGCAUGAGUUGAGGUAGGAGACAGCUCUGAAGAAUAUGAGCCUUCUGAGUCUAGAAGAGAAUAUGCUAUGAAAGAACUUAAUUCUUGAGGGGAAGCCUUUCUCACCUCUGGGAUGAAAGGAAUUUCACUUGCCUCCAAUCCACAUAGCAAAUUGCCCAAGGAAAGCUGAGUGCUUUUGGGUGUGGGAUUGGAAUUACCUUCAUACUGUACAAUGUGGACAAAACUGGAAUUAAUCAAUACAUAUUUAUUGAGUGUGUACCAUGUGCCAGGCACUGUGCUAGAUGCUGGAGAAACAAAGAUGAAAAAGGAAGAUCCCUGCCUUCAAGGAGUCUAUAUUUUAUAAGGGCUGAAGACAUGAACACAUGCAAGAGCAAACAAAAGGAACCUAAGAUAAUUUUGGUGGGAAGCACUAGCAGGCCUCCCUAAGAUGGUGUGUCAUACUUCUGUGAUCUUUCAUGCUGUCUGUCUAACCCGGCUUCACUUUUGGUGCUGGUGGUGGAGAGUAUACAGUGUGAUUUGCCCUGUGCCCUGAACCUGCCUCAGCCGGCUCUAAUGAGUAUAUCACCGCA
rnacentral:lncRNA from 1 species